UGCCCAAAGAGUACUGUUUUUAAUUAGACUUUGCUCAGCCAUUACUAAAAAAUAAAAAAAACAAAAAAACCAAAAAAAACAAAACAACAAAAAAAAUCUCACUCCCCAUAACAAAGGAGAGAGUUUAUUACUAAAAGAUCCAUUAAGGCUCUUAAAAAGAAGGCAGCCAGUGGAGGAGAAAAAAAAAAAUGCAGGUGCAAUGCUGGUGCCCAGGGGACUGAGCAGAUAAACGCACAGAAGUAGCUAUUGUGUAUUGGAUGAAGGUCAAUAUUUCAGGACAGGCAGUACCAGUUACUCUUUUAUCCUUGACAAAAUGCUAAGGUUUGCCUCUUCUGCCAUGCCCACUCUCUUGUGGCUACAGUGGCCCUGUAAUUGGACCUGACUUGGACCUGACUUCAGGAGCUCCUGAAAUAUCCCUGGCAGGUGCCACGAGAGUGGCUACGUGUAGAAGCAGCUACAGACUGUGGAAAUGUGAGGAAAUGUCAAACCGUAUUAAGCUGUCUGGAAAGAAAAAGGAAGAAGUUCACAGCUUGAUGAGGAAAAUGAAAACCUUGCUGAACCACACUGAACACCUGAAAAUAUCAAAGAACAAAAGAUAGAUGGGAAAAAUCCUGAAAAAGUUAUGAAAUGUAAAAAGGAAUAAAGUUCAGUGGAGUAAUAAAUUAUAUGUAAUA
rnacentral:lncRNA from 1 species